rnacentral:lncRNA from 10 species
CUUGACUAUUGCAGGAGAGCCUGAUAAGAUGUGACCCCACCUCUUUGCUGUGAGAGCUCCUCUCCACCACUUCGUCCCAGGUGACCUGGGUACAGUGUACACCAAGAGAUCAUGAGACAUGCAUGCCAAGUGGGGGAGCUGAUGUCAAUCCACACAUAAAAGCCCCGUCACCACUGUCAUGGUUCAGAGGCUCAUCAUCCCCUGCAUGCAUCAGUGCCUCGGCCCCCUAACGGGUCUCCCCACUGCUGAGCUCUUCCUCUCCGCUCCAUCCUUCACACAGCAGGCAGAGUGAUCUUUCAGAAACAUGCAUAUGAUCCUGUCAAGCCUUCGCUGAAAAGCCUUCAGUGUCAAUGUGCUUUCUAACCGCAGUUGUUCUCCGCCUCUGGUGUCAUGACACACUUGUUUGUCAUAUCAAUUCUGAGGCAGAUUCAUCCAUCCACCCAUUCAACAACUAUUUAUUGAACGCCUACUCUGUGUCAGUUAUUGUUGUAGGUGUUUGGGGGUACACCAGUAAACAAACAAACAAAAAUCUCUGCAUAUUGCCAGAAACUUGAUACUAGCAAGAGUUAAAGCCCUCAAGAUCGUGAAUAAUUUGACUAUUAUGGUGGAUGCAU